rnacentral:tRNA from 1 species
CAAAGGGUAGUUUAAUAAAAAUAUCAGUUUUGGGGACUGAAGAUGCAGAGUAGUUUUGUUCUUUUGA